CACUUAAGACCUGUUUUUUUGACUCUGCUCUUCUUUGCACCUUUGUAGGAUUCUGCCUGAGGUUAAAGAAAAAGGGAAAGAAAUGUAAGAUAUGAAUAAUAAAAAGUGAGAAAAGAAACUGAAAAGAAAAAAGUGGAAAGACGAAAAAAAAAAAACCCAGAAACUUAAACAAAGAUAUUAGACAAAUUUGAAAAGGACCAACAUACAUUUAUUUAACAAAAAAAAAAAAAAAAACACUUUCUGCCCAAUCAGAACUGAGAAAACAACUGUUAUUUGUGUAUAAAUUAAAAAAAGUUUUUAAAGAGGUUUCUAUCAUAGAAAAGAUUUAAUCCUCCAUAAGUCAAAUCUCCUCCUCAUGAUUUAAAUAUGUUCGUCCACCCGUCAUCAGCAGAUAUCCAAAUCAAAAAGUCAGGGCUGGACAUCACUCUAUUUAUGUGAUGCUUAAACUCUGUUAAACUUUGGAGAACAGAGAAGACCCCAGUACAAACAUCACACACCAUGUUCUCUACAUCUCUACUGCUCCUGCUGGCAGCUGCUUCCUAUGUGCAUGGUGUGGAACUGACUCAGCCUGCUUCCAUGACAGUCCAGCCAGGCCAGAGUCUCUCCAUCAACUGCAAGGUUUCAUAUUCAGUUACGAGCUAUCACACAGCUUGGAUCCGACAACCUGCAGGAAAAGCUCUGAAGUGGAUUGGGUACAUCAGCAGCGGUGGAAUUCUAUAUUACAGUGACAAACUGAAAAAUAAGAUUAGCAUCUCCAGAGACACGUCUACUAACACCAUAACAAUUCAAGGACAGAACAUGCAGACUGAAGACACAGCUGUGUAUUACUGCGCUCGAGACUCACAGUGAGACACGUCACCAACAUCCCUGUACAAAAACAUCCUGUACAGAAAACUGUUCAUCAGAAAUACAAAAAUGAACCAGUA